GCCUCAUUCGUCUAGUGGCAGGACGGCAGGUUUUCAGUCUGCAAACGGGAGUUCGAUUCUCCCAUGAGGUGC
rnacentral:tRNA from 1 species